UAUUGGAAAAAUUAUAAAUCAAUAAAUUAUCAAUUCGAUGAAUGUACCAUCUAUUGUUAGAUUUUGUUAUUUUAUGAACGUUAUGUACCUUUGUUAGUAGAUAUCUGUUUAAAAUAAUUUUCGGUGGUGGUGUCUUGAAGUGGGUGUCGCGCACAUUCGACGCGUUGGACAAUAUGUUUGUCGCGAGGGAAAUCAUUCCGACUCUGAGAUUGAUCGUAUGCAAAACUAAGCCGAUUUCUUCUCGAUAGAGGAUUUGAUAAAUUCGACGUAAACGUGUAUCAACGGAAUUUCAUACUUUUUUAUCGAGAAUCCCUUUCUAGAAGGGAUUCAUUCAGUCAUUAUAAAUUAGUCGAUUGCAUUUGGAAUUUUCUCGUUCCCGUGAAGGGAAUUAUCGUUCGACAUUGACUUCUCGUCGUCCACAUUGAUUGCCGAUACCAUAUCUUCCAAGACAACCACUCUGGCCAUCAUCACCGAACUACUCUAAGAACUAACCCCUUUGAAAAGUGAGUACGUAUCUGCUGAAGUUGAGGAAGUGUCCUGAAUAAAGUGUUUUUGUACCCUGAA